rnacentral:rRNA from 1 species
GCGAACGCUGGCGGCAGGCCUAACACAUGCACGUCGAACGAACUCUUCGGAGUUAGUGGCGGACGGGUGAGUAACACGUGGGAACGUGCCUUUUGGUUCGGAAUAACUCAGGGAAACUUGUGCUAAUACCGAAUGUGCCCUUCGGGGGAAAGAUUUAUCGCCAUUAGAGCGGCCCGCGUCUGAUUAGCUAGUUGGUGAGGUAACGGCUCACCAAGGCGACGAUCAGUAGCUGGUCUGAGAGGAUGACCAGCCACACUGGGACUGAGACACGGCCCAGACUCCUACGGGAGGCAGCAGUGGGGAAUCUUGCGCAAUGGGCGAAAGCCUGACGCAGCCAUGCCGCGUGAAUGAUGAAGGUCUUAGGAUUGUAAAAUUCUUUCACCGGGGACGAUAAUGACGGUACCCGGAGAAGAAGCCCCGGCUAACUUCGUG